UACGGGGGGGGCAAGCGUUGUUCGGAAUUACUGGGCGUAAAGGGCUCGUAGGCGGCCAACUAAGUCAGACGUGAAAUCCCUCGGCUUAACCGGGGAGCUGCGUCUGAUACUGGAUGGCUUGAGUUUGGGAGAGGGAUGCGGAAUUCCAGGUGUAGCGGUGAAAUGCGUAGAUAUCAGGAGGAACACCGGUGGCGAAGGCGGUUCUCUGGGCAUGAUCUGACGCUGAGGAGCGAAAGUGUGGGGAGCGAACAGG
rnacentral:rRNA from 1 species